rnacentral:rRNA from 1 species
AUACGGAGGAUGCGAGCGUUAUCCGGAUUUAUUGGGUUUAAAGGGAGCGUAGGUGGGAUAUUAAGUCAGCUGUGAAAGUUUGGGGCUCAACCUUAAAAUUGCAGUUGAUACUGGUUUCAUUGAGUACGGUACAGGUGGGUGGAAUUCGUGGUGUAGCGGUGAAAUGCUUAGAUAUCACGAAGAACUCCGAUCGCGAAGGCAGCUCACCGGGCCGGAACUGACACUGGUGCUCGAAAGUGCGGGUAUCAAACAGGAUUAGAUACCCUGGUAGUCCGCACAGUAAACGAUGAAUACUCGCUGUUUGCGAUACACUGUAAGCGGCCAAGCGAAAGCGUUAAGUAUUCCACCUGGGGAGUACGCCGGCAAAGGUGAAAAUUAAAGGAAUUGACGGG